GACGAACACUGGCGGCAUGCCUAACACAUGCAAGUCGAGCGAGUAGAUCCCUUCGGGGUGAAGCUAGCGGCGGACGGGUGAGUAACACGUGGGCAACCUGCCUCAGAGAGUGGAAUAGCCUUCCGUAAGGAAGAUUAAUACCGCAUCAGCUUGUAGUACCGUAUGGUAUAGCAAUUCAAGGAGCAAUCCGCUAUGAGAUGGGCCGGAUGCGCAUUAGCUAGUUGGUGAGGUAACGGAUCACCAAGGCGACGAUGCGUAGCCGACCUGGGAGGGUGAUCGGCCACAUUGGGACUGGGACACGGCCCAGACUCCUACGGGAGGCAGCAGUGGGGAAUAUUGCACAAUGGGGGAAACCCUGAUGCAGCAAUGCCGCGUGAGUGAUGACGGCCUUCGGGUUGUAAAGCUCUGUCUUCGGGGACGAUAAUGACGGUACCCGAGGAGGAAGCCACGGCUAACUACGUGCCAGCCGCCGCGGUAA
rnacentral:rRNA from 1 species